CUUUAACUCUGGCGGCAGGCCUAACACAUGCAAGUCGAGCGGAUGAAGGGAGCUUGCUCCUGGAUUCAGCGGCGGACGGGUGAGUAAUGCCUAGGAAUCUGCCUGGUAGUGGGGGAUAACGUCCGGAAACGGGCGCUAAUACCGCAUACGUCCUGAGGGAGAAAGUGGGGGAUCUUCGGACCUCACGCUAUCAGAUGAGCCUAGGUCGGAUUAGCUAGUUGGUGGGGUAAAGGCCUACCAAGGCGACGAUCCGUAACUGGUCUGAGAGGAUGAUCAGUCACACUGGAACUGAGACACGGUCCAGACUCCUACGGGAGGCAGCAGUGGGGAAUAUUGGACAAUGGGCGAAAGCCUGAUCCAGCCAUGCCGCGUGUGUGAAGAAGGUCUUCGGAUUGUAAAGCACUUUAAGUUGGGAGGAAGGGCAGUAAGUUAAUACCUUGCUGUUUUGACGUUACCAACAGAAUAAGCACCGGCUAACUUCGUG
rnacentral:rRNA from 1 species